AACGAACGCUGGCGGCAGGCUUAACACAUGCAAGUCGAACGCCCCGCAAGGGGAGUGGCAGACGGGUGAGUAACGCGUGGGAACAUACCCUUUCCUGCGGAAUAGCUCUGGGAAACUGGAAUUAAUACCGCAUACGCCCUACGGGGGAAAGAUUUAUCGGGGAAGGAUUGGCCCGCGUUGGAUUAGCUAGUUGGUGGGGUAAAGGCCUACCAAGGCGACGAUCCAUAGCUGGUCUGAGAGGAUGAUCAGCCACAUUGGGACUGAGACACGGCCCAAGCUCCUACGGGAGGCAGCAGUGGGGAAUAUUGGACAAUGGGCGCAAGCCUGAUCCAGCCAUGCCGCGUGCGUGAUGAAGGCCUUAGGGUUGUAGAGCUCUUUCACCGAUGAAGAUAAUGACGGUAGUCGGAGAAGAAGCCCCGGCUAACUUCGUGCCAGCCGCCGCAGUAAGAC
rnacentral:rRNA from 1 species